AUGCUUUUAUGCGUUUGCAAAGUUGCCCGCCGUUGUUUUAGAACUGGCGACAGGCAGUCUGAACAAACACAGAAGACCUCCGGACUGGCUAAAAGAGCCUAUUUACUCUUCCCUCUACCGUUUUUGGUUGUUUUGCGGGGCAGGGGCAUUCUUUCCGCGAUUUUAUUUUUUGGCACCGAGGUGAUCCCCUCUUAACAUUCGUGCCACGAGGGCGGUUUUCUGCUUGAAUGAAAGAAAUGCACGCGUCGCGGGCUUCAGUGGAGCAGGCGCCCGAGAUCAGGACAUUCCUUCGCCGUCUUCAGCUGUAAAUUUCCUCUUGGUUAUUUCAAGAGUGGCGCUCGACCGGCCUCCCUCCGCCCAGCGGUGUCGGCUUCGACUGCCGCCCCUCCCCCGGCCCCUCCUCCUCGCCCUGCGUCGCCGGAGUGGUGCCCUGCGCUGAAUCCACGGAGCUUGCCCUUUCCAGGUACAGAAUCGGUCUGCGCGCUUCAUUGACAUCCAUGGACUCUGCAGCCCGGCCUUGCGCGUGUAAUUGGACAGAUAGGUGCAUUCUCCAUUUUCAGGAAGGGGGACAGUCAGAUCUUUGUUUUAUAUAAAGUGCUAUAUGCUUGAUAUGGGCGGGGCGGAGAUGCGCGUUGCUGGAGGAUGGUUUGUUGGGGGACAGAGGGGAGCAAAUAUUGUAGUUAUUUCCUACACGCUUCUAGCAACAGCGGGAUAAGACAAAUGGAUCUGUCUGCCUUCUCUUCCGGGUGCUGUUUGGCGAAAUUCGAACGACAGGCUUUCACGUCCCUCAAAGUCUGGUGUCACUGAAUCUUCGUCACUUGCACAUUUAUAGCAUGAGGUUUCCUAGAGACAUCAAGUCCACGAACGAAUGUCUCAUAAUAAACAAGACUGGUUUUUGCCUUUAGGAAAGUGAUGAAUAUACUUAUGUUUCAGAGUACCUUUAGACAGGUCAAACGAUUUCCAUAAAGUUAUGUCAACACUCUUGCUUUCUCACUUUAUGCAGUUCUGUUGCCUACAACGGCAACAGCCCGGCUUCCAUUGACUCAGAAGCCAAUGCAAUGUGUGCUUCCUUUGGCUAGGGGAUGGUAAUUGUCGGGUAAUAUUUUGCAAACUCAGUUCAAAAUAUUCCUCAGCAUUCAUUCUCUCUCUCUCUCUCUCUCUCUCUCUCUCUCUCUCUCUCUCUCUCUGUGUGUGUGUGUGUGUGAAAUGACAACCUGUGCAAUGAGUGGCGCCUUUAACUGCGAUCCUAACCACACUUUCAGGACAGUAAGUCCCAGUGAAUACAGUGCAACUUACUUAAGAGUAAACAUGCAGGAACUCUAGGAAUUCUCUCAAAAUGAAACUCCAAGACAUGUUGAGAGAGAGAGAGAGAGAGAGAGAGAGAGAGAGAGAGAGAGAAGUUUGAACUGUGGACAUUUAGCGUCUGAUUCAGCAACGAUGACUAAUUUCUGAAGAGUAGCUUUCCCUUUUAACUCAGGAAAUAAUUACAAAGUGUGCAAUAGUAAGACGUAGGAAACCAUAAGGAGCAGUAUCUGAAAAGCAGAGGCGGCGCUAUUCGACGAAAGGCGCGCUUGCCCAAAUUUGGAGGCCUCCAGUCUUAGCGGAAUUAAGGCUGGGGGUCAGCGGACUGGUCACUGGUGUCAGAUGUUAUCGGCUCAUUCGUUUCCUGCCACGGACCUCGGCCUUUUAAGUUCCGUGGAAGGUAGAGAGCCGGAACCAGCUGGGAACUCUCCCAAACUUCCUAAAUCGAAACGCGGAGGGGAAGGGAGAGAGCAGAGAAAUCAAGCGGAGAAAGAGUGCGCAGAAACAGCAAAAAUUCGGAAGUGUGUGUGUGUAGAAACCCAGGAAAUCUUUACGUUACUUCCACCAGACUGAUCCGCCUGGCCUGGACAAGAGCUUUCCAAAGCGCAGGGGCGCCUCUUGUCUGCAAGGGAUCGGGUUGGGUUGCCCAGCGGCGUCCACUGGGUUCCUUCUUUCGUUUCCAGUCUCCACCCACCUUCCUAAGCGCCUUCCUAAGCGAGGCUUCCCUGGGAAUGCACGUGCUCAGAUCAAAGAGAGAAAACUUCGACGCCCGCCUUUCGGGCCAGCAUCUCGCUGCAUCCUCGGGUGGCGGCGAAGCAUGAACCGGUUUGGAGGGGGGGUCGAAGCAAAGCGGGGAUAAGCCCCCAACCCCCGAUGCCGUCGCAGCGGUCCUUGAGAGAGGAAACCGAGCAUCCCGGGUUUUUAUUAUUUAUUACUAUUUUGCCCCUGGUUUCUAUUAAAAGCAGACCCGGAGCGGCAGAAUCUCGGGGAGAGGGCGCUUCUCUCUUGCCCGCAGGCUUCCUACAAACCGGAACUGUUCCAUAGCUGACCUCUGAGACUUGCCGGCGCCCAGCAAAGCCACCCUUCCCUGGAAAAGGCUUCCCUCUCCCACCCCUCCUCUGCGCUCCUCCAGAAAACAUUACUGCAAGGAAAGUGUCCAUCCAAGUUAGGUUAAUGGAAAGCAAUCGGCACAUGUUCAGAGGCACUCUUUGUUUUGCACACACCGAUUUUCAGUUUCCCCUCUUCAAUUCCCUUUGCUGCUGGCUGUUCCGCAUUCACCGCUCUCCUUUAGUGACCUGAAAGCAUGAACCGCUCUCUUUCUCUGCACCCCAGACCCCACUAUAUAUUAUCCAGGUCUACGUCGAUGAAUUUUCACAACGCAUAGAACCUCUGCAGCAUUUUAAAAAGACAUUUUCCUUUGAAUAAAUUAUUAUUAAUAAUAAUUACACUGUCCGACUAUCACCAUAUUUAACACCUGGUAGAAUCUCUCCUAAAGUAGCCUUGGGAUACCAAGUUCCAUCGCCCGCUUGUUCGUCCGCUUUUGUAUGCGCCUCUAAUUACAGAUAAAUUUGUCCGUGUCCAUAGUUUGGACUUUCCAAGGGGGCGGGGGGAGGCUGAAGCUGUACGAGGAAACGGCUUCUCCCUCCAAUGACAGUUGACAGAGGAGGGCAGUUUAAAUACCACAGGGAAGACUAAUUUGUGCCUGUACGUUACGCUGACGCCCAAGGCAAGUUUCAAAAAGAAGAAGAAAAGAGGCCACACGAAAUUGGCUUCCGCUCCACCCCGCUCGCACCAAACGCGCAAGCAAAAGCGCCCUCGACCUACGCACAGUUGUUUCCUGAAGUUACCAGUCCCUCUCUCUCAAAAUUUAAGUCUUAAUGUGCCGUGCGAAGGAAGGCAUAGGAACCACCCCCAGUCUUCAUUAGCCUUUGCUGAAUUAUGGCCAUCAUCGGCUCAAUUUUUUGGGUGUGUGGGAGCGCGCGUCCUAUUCUCCUCCUUUCCUGGUUUAUAUUUAACUGCCACCCCCCAAACAACAACAACAAAGUCUCGACGUUUCUGAAAUGAUCCGAUUCCUGGAACCACCCAUUGCGAGAGCCGCUUCUUUACUGUGUUACGCACGGUAAGAUAGCUUUAAGGGGGCUGCGUCUUCAUAUUGCCAAAGACGUUCAGAAAACUAGGAACGGAUCUUUCAUCUGCGCAAAGUCCGCGGAAAUGCACAAGAGGCGCGAAAGACACGUGCUUUCGUACGCGGCUCCGAUUCCCUACGAGAGAAGUGUGGCGACACAGCCACCCCACGUCGGACAAAGCAAAAACUUCAAAGCAACGAGUACCCUGAAGAAUGUUGGGAGAAUUCUCCUUUUCCUUAUAUUUUAGCUUGGCAACAAGACAACCUUCCUUAUCUGGAGCGUAAGAAAAGCAAAGGGGGGAAACCAAUUACCCCCUUUCCGCAAUUUCUACUUUCCCUCGACUCCCACCAAACACACACAAAACAGGUGCGUAUAUAUUAGGGUAAAUCCGUUAAGCAACAAGGAACCAUUCGAUUCAGAAGCUAUCGGAGAUGUAGGCACGUUGUCUCACAGCGAGACCCAAGAGUCCUUCUGCAGCGCCUUUAAAUCUAACAAAACCUUUGGUCUAUUUAGCAAAGCUGCGCUGAAAACUUUAAUCACGUUGACUUAGGAGUAAGAUAAUGGGAUCCUAAGUAAACAUGCCUGAGUUUGCAGGCUGAUUUUCUCGAGAAAUCGAUGCCAUACUAAUAAGCACCACGACCACCGCCGUUUCUAAUUUAACCUCACGAGCUGUGGUUACUCCGGUUGACGUGGCACCUUUCGAAAGAUAAUUUAGUCCCCAAGCCCAAAGUGAGGGGAAGAGAGACAGUUUCGGGGCUCCUAUUGCCCGCCCACCCCGCGAAGUGUCAUAUUUCAAAUACAUCAGAGUUCAGGGAGCCGCGUGGCUCCAGCCAAAGGCGACAACUGAGCACAUGGGGAUAUGCAUUCAGAGAUCAGUAAAUGAAUAUUCGCAAAGUUUACUUCCUUAGCUAUGGCUAAGGAACAAAAAAGGAAAAAGCAGCAUUGCUACAUCACGGCAUCAAUCCUAUGCAUGGGCAUACAACUGAAGGACGCUUACUCCUGAGUAAUUUAUGUAUAAUCUUAGUUGCAACACUACACAUACGUGUGAGGGCGGAGGAACCAACGAUGUCACCCUCUCUAGAACUACCACCAUCCUUGACAGUAACCAUUGGUCACACCGGCUAGAGCUGACGAGAGUUGGCGUUCAAGAGCCACUGGAAGGAAGGCAGUAUGUUGGCAAGCCCCGUUAACUCAAUGGCAUUUGCUUCGGAUUGAACAUGCCCCAGACUGCACUGUUCACAUGGUAGAGAGGGCGGGAGAGCCGGGGAAAUGCGAUGCUGGAAAAAUGCCGUGCGAGAAGGGAGCAUUCGUGUUCAUCCAGCGAUGACAAGCAGGUGAGGGAAAGCAACAAACCGCAACACCACAAUGCAUUCAUCGCCUGUCCCACUGCGUUGUGCGGCGGAGCCUGUUCACACGUUCAAGCUGCAUUCGUAGCUUUCACCUCCGAAGCCGAAGCGAUCGAUGCGGUCACCCUGUUUCAAUAGGGGAGCAGCGGGGGCAUCUUGCAGGAGGUCCUUUUAGGAGGCUCACCGUCGAGGCAUGGAAGAUGAAUUUCGCUAAGAGCAACUGGGAAGAGUGAUCGGCGCUAAGAGGCGGCUGCAGAAAGUUCAGGAUUCACAGGGCAAGCCAGGGCACUGUCUACUCGGAAGUAAACGCCACUCUGGCGGAGGGAGGCUUGCUCCCAGCACCUAAUACAAUCUGCAAGACAGCAGCAGAAUUAACUCCAGCAGCCCCAUGGCCAGCAAAUGAAAAAGCAAACUCUUGGAACUACGGUAAUCUACACCCCCCCACCCGUUUCCUUUUCCUUCACUAGUUGAAGGAAAUGGAGUGGAGUUCGUGUCUAUGGUUGAUAUCAAUCUCAAUAGGCUAUGUUGCAUCAGAAUUCCUAAAGAGAGAGUAUGCAGAACACUGGGGGCGGGAAUACAGAAUAAAAUUGGGGUGGGAAGCCUGUUAGGCUGCAGUUCUACAAACAUACACUUGGGUGUAAGUCCCACUGGGCAUCAACUUACUUCUGCAUAAGCAUGCGUGGGCCAAGGGGGGCAGGAAGGGGCAGCUGCCCCCCCAACCAAUACAAAUCAAUAAAAAUACAUAGCUAACUGAGGUUCUGCCUACUUAACAAAAGGCCUGCCCCCCCCCAACAAAAAUCCUGGCUAUGCCCAUGUAAGCAUGUACAAGUCUGUAAUAUUCGGAUGGCACUUUUGAACCCAACAGCAGGAUCUGAAAGGCUGUGCCAGAAAUAGUAUAUCAUCUGCACGUAAUUCUUCUAUAUAAGAUAAAAGGUUUUCUGAAAUAGGACAUCCUCAGCAAGCCACUAUUGACACUUUUUAUGUUGUAUUUUAUUAGUACUAAUGUUAGGCUGGCAACAAAUUAUUCUCGUGAAGAUCACCGAACCAUAGAACUGUGGAGCUGGAAGGGACCGCAAAGGUCAUCUAGUCCAACCCCCUGCAACGGAGAAAUCUUUUUGCCCAAUGUGGGGCUUGAACUCACCACCUUGAGACUCUCAUGCUCUACUGACAGAGCUAUCCCAGUUUUUCAAUAAGCAUACACUACAUUAGACUUAUGGGUAAGGCUGCAAACCUCAAUACACCUACAAGAGAUUAACCCUAUUGACCAGUGGGGUUUUAAAGGAUGAUGAGAAGGGGAUUGUGAUGGCUUCUCAAGUUUGGUUCUGCCUCUUCUUCUUCCGAGGGGGAGUGGUUCUGUGCGUCUUUAAAUACUUCCUGGGAAGUAAUUAUUGGUAAAACAAAGAAGCGUGAGUUAAACUAGGCUACAGAAAUUACUGGCUAUUAUGACUAACUUUUAUUUGGAUUCAGCUGGCACCUAAUUUAGGUAACUGGCUGCCAAGCCUUGGAAAAAUCAGGGUACAUUUUAAUGAUGCGUUUCCUCAGGGAAACUAGGCUCAAUCAGUUUAGGAAAGAUGUUCUCAAUUCCAGUCACCCAUGGGCAAACUAGCACAGUCACAAAACGGGGUGGCGAGAGGAAUAAAGAGGACUAACCUGGACUUGAAGAGGCUUCCCAGAAUGAUUUCAUAGUCUUCUGAGGCACCUGGAAAUCAGAGAGCUGCAGUCACUACUAUGUUAAUUCUACCAGAGCACUGUAUUUAAUUAUCUGUUCUCCAGUUUAAUGGCUCAUUAGAAGGCCAUAAAAUGUCUGUUCUUGACUCUAUGAAGUGACCUGUAAACUUUUAACAGGUUGCGAUUUACCUAGCUCAUCACAACCACAAUGGGAUAACCAGGUGGUGUUCUAAUCAGUCUAAUGUACUGAGGGGAGAAAGACACCCACAUUUUUAUGAAAAGUGUUCUUUAACUGAUCUCUUCCACAAGCAAGAUACCUAAUGGUAACUGGAUAACACAAUGCGUUGUUCAAUUAAUAAUGGCAGAAGCAGCUCAAAGUCUAUGGCUUGCUGGAUGUAGCAUUCAGGCAGCACAUGUUAUAUGCAAUAUAAAAUUAAUGUCAUUGUUUAGCCACAGUCAUGAUGAACAUAUAUAAAAUAACCCAGACAAAUGCAAAUAAACCUUAGUAGUAACAAACUUAAAGGCAUGUCACAUUUCUCUGUUACAAAUGAAAAUCCUAUCAGCCAUUUUUCUUCAGAGCUUGUUCCUACAGACAUUAAGCAAAAACUUUGCUUCGAUAAAUGGAAGGUGUCACAUAUUGUUUUUAAACUGUUUAGUGCUUGCAUGUUGGGUGUCUAAAAAGGGUGAAUUUAUUACCUGGGUUAUGCAUGGAGAUUAGGUUACAUUCCAACAAUCCAUUUCUUAGUUUUCUGGACUGUCCAGAAGCUAGCUAUGUAAUGACUACUCCAAUAACUGUGUCUCCCUUACAACUGAUAGUUUAACACAUGCCAAAAGCACUUCACCACUUACUUUUGUUUUAUUACAGCUUUCUUAUCAGCACCUCCCCACCCCACUCCCAGCAAAAUUCCAGAGUCACUCCACAUUUGAAAGAUAAGUCAUGCAAAAUACUGCAAGCUACAAGAAUUCAUGUAGUAAUUAAGAUUUAAUUUUGUAUAAGCUUGUUGAAUUAUUAAGGUUGAAAAUUUUCUAAUCCAUCAGGCUUAUGAAGUCAAUUAAGAAUACAUUUUUUCCAUUACAGCUAUCUGCUUUCUGAUUUUUAAUUAUUUUAUAUUGUUUUCACUGUAUGUUCUAAUGCAUAAUUGUUAUAAACCGCUCUGAUGUUUUUAUGAAUAGCAACAUAUAUAGUUAUUGAAAUAUAUACAUUUAUAAUUAAUUUACACUGCAAUACUAUAUUGAGAUAAAGUACCGCACCAUAUAAAUGAUUCUUUGUACAAUUUAAACUGCAACACUGGAACACCUUUAAAAUUCACAUGAUACAAAUAAAAUACCUUUUGUUUCUUUAACAGA